GCUGUAGGAGAAACACAAAUUACCUCAGGCACACAGACUGAUGCGACAAAACCGACAUGACUGGUUAGGACAUGAGGAGGAAACAGUAGGAGCUGUGUGAGGCUACUAAAGGCAGUGGAUCCCUCAGCAGCUGGAUUACAAAGAACACAGUCUCAGAUCAGCACAGCCCUGCCCUCCAGCACUAUCAGCAGCAGGAGCAGCAGCAACCCCUCAACAGCAACAUUGUACCCAUCAGCCUGGUUCAAUGUGCCCCUUUUUAACUUUGAGCACCCGCCCCUAUAAACGUCUCUGCACGGCCCUGGUUCCAGCUCACCUCUCCCCUACUCUGAGACGCAGCGGAGCGGAGGUGUAAGUACCUGGCUGAAAACAGGACAUAUUAGCUACAUUUAACCUGCAGUUACUCUUUAUAUAGUUAGGUAGGUAUCAGACCAUGUUUCAUUUUAGCUGAAAAACAUUACACCAGGUAACCUGCAGUGUUGAAAACUUGUUUUCCGGCGAUGUUUGCUACCCUACAAUCCGUCCUGCUCUGUAGUAAAUUCAGUGACAUUUGACCGUCCUGUUGCUCCCACUGAAAUGUAUACAGCCUAUUUAAAAUCUAAAACUUAAAAUUGUCCGUAGCCUGCUGUUGUUACCACUGUCCUGUUUGAAAUGGAUACUAACUAGCUAAUUGACUGAAUGCCCAUUAACCUUAUAACUCCUGUUGUGUGGUGUGUGUGUGUGUGUGUGUGUGUGUGUGUGUGUGUGUGUGUGUACAGACAGACAGCCAGGUUCAUAAUGGAUAUAAGGAAGUUUUUUCAAAAACAGGAGCCACAUUCAGUCCAAAGAGGGAGAGAGGAAAGAGGGGAACGUGAGGAGAAAGUACAAGGUCAGGAAGAACCAGACAUGGCUGGUAAGGACAUGAGGAGGAAACAGUAGGAGCUGUGUGAGGCUACUAAAGGCAGUGGAUCCCUCAGCAGCUGGAUUACAAAGAGCACAGUCUCAGAUCAACACAGCCCUGCCCUCCAGCACUAUCAGCAGCAGGAGCAGCAGCAACCCCUCAACAGCAACAUUGUACCCAUCAGCACCCGCCCCUUUAAACGUCUCUGCACGGCCCUGCAUCUACUAGACAUCAUAGGCCUCAUCACAGACAAUGAUGACACGGCCUAUAGAGAGGAGGUGAUGGCACUGUACGAGUGGUUCCUGGAAAAUAACCUGUCUCUCAACGUCAGCAAAACAAGGGAAAUGAUAGUGGACUACCGGAAAUGACUAGUCGGGGAACACCAGCCAAUCCACAUCAACGGUGUCAAGGCCGAAAGGGUCACCAACUUUAAAUUCCUUGGAGUCAACAUCACCGAGGAUCUCUCCUGGACCCUUCAUGUAGACACUGCAAUCAGGUGUGCAAUCGAGAGCUUGCUGACGAGCUGCAUUACACUUUGGUACGGAAGCUGCUCUGCCAGCACCCACAAAUCACUACAGAGGGUGGUGAAAGCAGAAGAGUUCAACGGUGCCUCCAAAAAACACACAGAAGCACACAAAAACACACAUCAAGGACCACAGCCACCCAGCACAUCAGCUGUUCUCCUUGUUACCAUCUGGCAGACGUUACAGGAGUCUGUCUGCUCGGACUACAAGACCCCCCACCCCUC
ensembl:lncRNA